GCCCCAGUGGCUCAAGUGGACAGAGCGAGGCACUCCUAACGCCUAGGCUGAGGGUUCGAGUCCCUCCUGGGGCA
rnacentral:tRNA from 1 species